rnacentral:rRNA from 1 species
AUACGUAGGUGGCAAGCGUUGUCCGGAAUUAUUGGGCGUAAAGCGCGCGCAGGUGGUUCCUUAAGUCUGAUGUGAAAGCCCCCGGCUCAACCGGGGAGGGUCAUUGGAAACUGGGGAACUUGAGUGCAGAAGAGGAUAGUGGAAUUCCAAGUGUAGCGGUGAAAUGCGUAGAGAUUUGGAGGAACACCAGUGGCGAAGGCGGCUGUCUGGGCUGUAACUGACACUGAGGCGCGAAAGCGUGGGGAGCAAACAGGAUUAGAUACCCUGGUAGUCCACGCCGUAAACGAUGAGUGCUAAGUGUUGGGGGGUUUCCGCCCCUCAGUGCUGCAGCUAACGCAUUAAGCACUCCGCCUGGGGAGUACGGUCGCAAGACUGAAACUCAAAUGAAUUGACGGGG